rnacentral:rRNA from 1 species
GGGGGGAGCAAGCAUUGUUCGGAUUUACUGGGCGUAAAGGGCGCGUAGGCGGCCACCGCAAGUCAGUUGUGAAAUCUCUGGGCUUAACCCAGAAAGGUCAACUGAUACUGCGGGGCUAGAGUGCAGAAGGGGCAACUGGAAUUCUCGGUGUAGCGGUGAAAUGCGUAGAUAUCGAGAGGAACACCUGCGGCGAAGGCGGGUUGCUGGGCUGACACUGACGCUGAUGUGCGAAAGCUAGGGGAGCGAACGGGAUUAGAUACCCCGGUAGUCCUAGCCUUAAACGAUGAAUGCUUGGUGUCUGGGGUUUUAUAGUCCCCGGGUGCCGUCGCUAACGCUUUAAGCAUUCCGCCUGGGGAGUACGGUCGCAAG